GACGAACGCUGGCGGCGUGCUUAACACAUGCAAGUCGAACGGAAAGGCCCUGCUUUUGUGGGGUGCUCGAGUGGCGAACGGGUGAGUAACACGUGAGUAACCUGCCCUUGACUUUGGGAUAACUUCAGGAAACUGGGGCUAAUACCGGAUAGGAGCUCCUGCUGCAUGGUGGGGGUUGGAAAGUUUCGGCGGUUGGGGAUGGACGCGCGGCUUAUCAGCUUGUUGGUGGGGUAGUGGCUUACCAAGGCUUUGACGGGUAGCCGGCCUGAGAGGGUAACCGGCCACAUUGGGACUGAGAUACGGCCCAGACUCCUACGGGAGGCAGCAGUGGGGAAUAUUGCACAGUGGGCGGAAGCCUGAUGCAGCAACGCCGCGUGCGGAAUGACGGCCUUCGGGUUGUAAACCGCUUUCGCCUGUGACGAAGCGUGAGUGACGGUAAUGGGUAAAGAAGCACCGGCUAACUACGUG
rnacentral:rRNA from 1 species